UGCCAGCAGCCGCGGUAAUACGUAGGGAGCAAGCGUUGUCCGGAAUUAUUGGGCGUAAAGGGUGCGUAGGCGGUUUAUCAAGUCAGAUGUGAAAUACCCAGGCUUAACUUGGGAGGUGCAUUUGAAACUGAUAGACUUGAGUAAAGAAGAGGUAAGUGGAAUUCCUAGUGUAGCGGUGGAAUGCGUAGAUAUUAGGAGGAACACCAGUGGCGAAGGCGACUUACUGGUCUUUUACUGACGCUGAGGCACGAAAGCGUGGGGAGCAAACAGGAUUAGAUA
rnacentral:rRNA from 1 species